GAAAGGGUGAAACCCUACUUGUUCAAUUAAGGUCAAAAUUCAGCAAUUUAAUGGUGGUUCUUGACACAAAUCGAAUGCAUGUACCUAAUUACUCCCUAAUCCAAGUAUUUUGAACAUAAGGAUUGAAUGAAGAAGGAGCUAGUUCCGGUUCACAACUAAAGGCUCAAGGUCGAGGUAAAACUCAAGCUUAAAUGUUAUUGCCUCGCUCGGAAUCGAACACACCUUGAACGCCCUUAUUGCGCUUCCGCAAUUUUUGAAGAAUCAUUAAUGGUUAAAUGCUUUUGUUAAAGUUAGACUAUGUUGGGUGUUUUCGAACUCUAAACUUGGUGUUUUAAAUCCUUUGUUAACACGUUAGUUGUAAAUG